UUAAAAGCCACUGUUCUAAGAC
rnacentral:miRNA from 1 species